UCUCUUGGCAUUAAUGAAGUCAUCUGGUCGUCUAACAAUUUUGAAAUACCAAAGAAAACUAAUCAUUUCUCCAAUGAAAGGGAGACCCAUAUGAUCAGGUGGUAACUUUGUGGCAUAUUUUGAGUAUUUUACUGUAUUCUAAUAUUACUUAUUAAUUUAAUGCAAUAUAUUUUUUAUAAAUUUUAUAUAUAAUGCUGCAAAUAUAAUUGAUAUUUUUUUAACAAAACAAAUAUAAUUGAUAUUUUCUUCUCAAAAAAUAUAAUUGAUAUUUAUAAUUUAGUGAUCAUACACAGGAGGGAUUACCCCCCACAAUCUGUGUGUGUGUAUAACGUUGUUGGUCCUCUCAAAAAAAAAAUUAUUGGCAGUUAAUUAGUUUUAUUUCUCUUUAUAAAAAAUUAAGUGAAGCACUCAUUAAAAAUUAUUUAUUAAUCCUUAAAAAAAUUAUUUAUUAAUUUUAUUUAUGAAGAAUGAGUGCUAAAUUAUGUAAGAGGUAAAUUAUUGAAUGAUUGUUUGAUGGAAUAUAUAUAGAAAUAUACGUUUAUUGUGUUUUUAUAUUGUCAAUAAGAAGAAAAAUAUAUACGAAAGAACAAUUAUAAUUGUAAAUGUUAGUGUUUUCAAAUUUUAAAAUAUAAUAAAAUAGCUUCAUAAUUUCCAAAUUUUUGUUUGAUGAUAAAGGAUACGAGAAUUUAUUUAUUUAUAGAUGUUAAUCCUUGAGUUCUCGGGAAAAAGGGAUCUUGAUAAUUCAUCAAUGAAAGAUUCAAAAAUUUCAUUUGGUUGAGGCUAGAAAAUAGGCUAUAUGUUUUAUAACUAAAUAAAAUAUUAUUAUGAACUUUUACAUAAUGCAUAAGAUAAAUUGGUCCGGGUCAUGGGUGAUGGGGCUACAACUUUCUUUUAGUUUGAUCUAUGGUUGGAAGGAGGUGUUUUAUGUGAUUGGUUCAGAAAUUUGUUUGAUUUGUCUGAAUAUGACAUUGCGACAGUGCUGAAAUGUGUUCUUUGGGUUAGGGUGAUGCUUGGAAAUGGAGGUGGCAGUUAUUAGGGUGGGAGGAUGAGCAGAUAUAGGAGUGUUAUGAGUAGUUGUAUAAAAAAAUUUUGCAGGAUGCAAGGGCGGGAAGACAACUGGGAUUGACGUUUCCUUCUUCAAAAAAAAACUGGGAUUGACGUCUUGAUCCUGAGAAAGGCUAUUCAGUGAUAUCAUGCCAUGAUUUUUGAAAGAAAUUUUUUUGUGUAAAAGCUUUUGGUGUAAGUUGAUUUAGAAUAAAAUAUGGUUUGGAAAGCAUUUUUCACAUAUUUUUUCAAGUUUUUGUAUUUAUGAUUCUAAUCAUUUUUAACAAAGGACUUAAUGAUUCGAAUCACCGUAAAUAGAGAGUUUGGUUACACCUUUGAUUUGAAUCAUGAAAUAUGUGAUUCUAAUCAAUCUUCAUCUCGAGAAAUAUAAUUCAAAUCAUGAAAUCUUUGAUUU
rnacentral:lncRNA from 1 species